UAACCCGAAAAUGUUGGAUAUAUCCAACCUCUGCUA
rnacentral:tRNA from 1 species